GCUGGCGGCAUGCUUAACACAUGCAAGUCGAACGGUAGCACAGAGAGCUUGCUCUCGGGUGACGAGUGGCGGACGGGUGAGUAAUGUCUGGGAAACUGCCUGAUGGAGGGGGAUAACUACUGGAAACGGUAGCUAAUACCGCAUAACGUCGCAAGACCAAAGAGGGGGACCUUCGGGCCUCUUGCCAUCAGAUGUGCCCAGAUGGGAUUAGCUAGUAGGUGGGGUAACGGCUCACCUAGGCGACGAUCCCUAGCUGGUCUGAGAGGAUGACCAGCCACACUGGAACUGAGACACGGUCCAGACUCCUACGGGAGGCAGCAGUGGGGAAUAUUGCACAAUGGGCGCAAGCCUGAUGCAGCCAUGCCGCGUGUAUGAAGAAGGCCUUCGGGUUGUAAAGUACUUUCAGCGGGGAGGAAGGUGUUGUGGUUAAUAACCGCAGCAAUUGACGUUACCCGCAGAAGAAGCACCGGCUAACUCCGUGCCAGCAGCUGCGGUAAUACGGAGGGUGCAAGCGUUAAUCGGAAUUACUGGGCGUAAAGCGCACGCAGGCGGUCUGUCAAGUCGGAUGUGAAAUCCCCGGGCUCAACCUGGGAACUGCAUUCGAAACUGGCAGGCUAGAGUCUUGUAGAGGGGGGUAGAAUUCCAGGUGUAGCGGUGAAAUGCGUAGAGAUCUGGAGGAAUACCGGUGGCGAAGGCGGCCCCCUGGACAAAGACCGACGCUCAGGUGCGAAAGCGUGGGGAGCAAACAGGAUUAGAUACCCUGGUAGUCCACGCCGUAAACGAUGUCGACUUGGAGGUUGUGCCCUUGAGGCGUGGCUUCCGGAGCUAACGCGUUAAGUCGACCGCCUGGGGAGUACGGCCGCAAGGUUAAAACUCAAAUGAAUUGACGGGGGCCCGCACAAGCGGUGGAGCAUGUGGUUUAAUUCGAUGCAACGCGAAGAACCCUUACCUACUCUUGACAUCCAGAGAACUUUCCAGAGAUGGAUUGGUGCCUUUCGGGAACUCUGAGACAGGUGCUGCAUGGCUGUCGUCAGCUCGUGUUGUGAAAUGUUGGGUUAAGUCCCCGCAACGAGCGCA
rnacentral:rRNA from 1 species